rnacentral:lncRNA from 1 species
AAAAAUAUAUAUUCUUCGCCUGUAAGCACGCUGCUGCAGCCUACGUUUUCUAAUGCUUAAUCGAGACAUCUUUAUUAUUUUUAAACUACUGCAAAUCAUCAAAAUGGCUUUCAUAAAGAAGCAACCACUUAACUUUAAAAAAAAGGGGGGGGGGUAUUUUUGUUAAUUUAUCUUAGCCAGAAAUUUUUCCGCGCAAACGUUUUAUUCCGG